rnacentral:rRNA from 1 species
GAUGAACGCUGGCGGCGUGCUUAACACAUGCAAGUCGAACGAUGAAGCCCCGCUUGCUGGGUGGAUUAGUGGCGAACGGGUGAGUAACACGUGAGUAACCUGCCCUUAACUCUGGGAUAAGCCCGGGAAACUAGGUCUAAUACCGGAUAGGAGCGCCUACCGCAUGGUGGGUGUUGGAAAGAUUUAUCGGUUUUGGAUGGACUCGCGGCCUAUCAGCUUGUUGGUGGGGUAAUGGCUCACCAAGGCGACGACGGGUAGCCGGCCUGAGAGGGUGACCGGCCACACUGGGACUGAGACACGGCCCAGACUCCUACGGGAGGCAGCAGUGGGGAAUAUUGCACAAUGGGCGAAAGCCUGAUGCAGCGACGCCGCGUGAGGGAUGACGGCCUUCGGGUUGUAAACCUCUUUCAGUAGGGAAGAAGCGAAAGUGACGGUACCUGCAGAAGAAGCACCGGCUAACUACGUG